UGUCACUAUGUCGGACCACAGGAAAUAAUAACAAAGCUGCCUCUGUGAGUCCAGUUGUUAGCAACUAGUUUCCUAGUUUCCAUGGAAGUUCAGAGACACAAGGAUCUGUGCAGCUGUCUAACAGGCCCUGCUUCUCCAGUCUGGUUUUUUUUUCUGUUUCUAACUUCUGCUUUGACGCUGAAUAAUUCGGACACUCGUUUGGCCUUUCCAGCAUAUUCCUGAUGCAAAGGGGGGCCUGAUUUAGGAGGCUUCACGGACGCCGGGCAUUUUCCACAAUCGCAGAGAAGAACAGGGCCCCCCAGUGUAAUCCGAUUCCAGGAACCCCGUUUGACGGAUCGCCUGCGGGGGCUUCUAGAAUCCGAACGUGGCACUUUGACCGCGGAGUGUUUUAAACGAAGAACAUCUUUCCGGAAGUAAAACUCCUACGAGCAGCCGUGCUUCAAUGUUUCACCUGUCGACGCUGAGAAUCGCGGUCUACAUCGACAGCUGGCCAUCCUCGAAAUAUUUACCCACAAGGCUCUGCUGCUUCACCAAGUAUUCAAAUAGAUGGUAUUCAUAGCCUGGGUCCUUUCAUCGCAGAGUCUCAAAGCACUAAUCCCCCUUCUGCUCCGAUGGCCGCACUGCAGACUCUCAGCAUUCAUCCACCCAGCUUACAGAUGUAGCCGCCCGGGAUGCUUCUCCAACAGGCCUGGAGGAGUUUCCACAGUUUCGUUGGCUUCAUCGGAUCUUCGUUUCUUCUUCCACCUGAAACAUCGAGGAGAGACGGGCUGAGGUGCCAUUUCUCUGCAAACCGAGACGCUCGGUGUGUCUGUGACCGGCUCCGCUUUGCCACCACCGACAGCACGAGCGAAAAGGGCCCUCACCUUGGGGUAUGAACUGAAUUAAGAGCAGCACGACCCCCCCCAGGAAGAGCGUGGAGAAGAGACAAAGGCGCCUGGGCACGUAGCGGAAGAGCAGCCAGGCCGAGACGUAGGCGGGGACUUCGAUGGCUGCCGAGAUGAAGCAGUUGAGAUAAUCCAUUGACGCAUCUAUCAAAGAAUGCAGAUCACAUUGCUGUGGUAAAAGGGGGAUAUAAAGCGUGGUAAUAUUGACUGGAAUGCAGAGGAAUGGAUCUGAAAUAACACUCCGUUUUGUUAGACAUACGCAGGUCAGUUCAGAUUCUAUCAAUACCAGAUAAAUUUCUUAGUUUCUCCCAUGAAAUACUGGGCAUUGAAGGUCGUGGUUUAUUAAAAAAAUAGACUCGGUGGACUUCUGCAAAUUCCCAAUAAUAUAUGCUUCCUAUAAGAGCCAGAAACUACAAAUACGUUAUAGUACAGGACAUGCUAAAGUGUACAGCGCAAAUUUAGAGACUGAUUCACACAUAGUCCUGUUAUGAUAAAGCUUUUCGCAAUCUAAAGAGAGCAACAUGCUUAAAAAUUACAAUAAAUUCGUUUGGACGUGCAAUACACUCUUAACUGUUGCUUAAUGCGUAAUAUGCGAGUCCUUUAUGUUACUGUACAAUAGUGAAAUUAAUAAUUCUGGUUAGUUCUGGUUUUGGUUAGAAAUAAUGGAUUUGAAGACUUUACAUCAUAUAUGGCAUCUUUGCAAGUACUUUUGUAUAUUUGCAUGAUUAUUAAUUCUUAUU